rnacentral:rRNA from 1 species
AAGUCGAGCGAGCUUGCCUAGAUGAAUUUGGUGCUUGCACCAGAUGAAACUAGAUACAAGCGAGCGGCGGACGGGUGAGUAACACGUGGGUAACCUGCCCAAGAGACUGGGAUAACACCUGGAAACAGAUGCUAAUACCGGAUAACAACACUAGACGCAUGUCUAGAGUUUAAAAGAUGGUUCUGCUAUCACUCUUGGGUGGACCUGCGGUGCAUUAGCUAGUUGGUAAGGUAACGGCUUACCAAGGCAAUGAUGCAUAGCCGAGUUGAGAGACUGAUCGGCCACAUUGGGACUGAGACACGGCCCAAACUCCUACGGGAGGCAGCAGUAGGGAAUCUUCCACAAUGGACGCAAGUCUGAUGGAGCAACGCCGCGUGAGUGAAGAAGGGUUUCGGCUCGUAAAGCUCUGUUGGUAGUGAAGAAAGAUAGAGGUAGUAGCUGGCCUUUAUUUGACGGUAAUUACUUAGAAAGUCACGGCUAACUACGUGCCAGCAGCCGCGGUAAUACGUAGGUGGCAAGCGUUGUCCGGAUUUAUUGGGCGUAAAGCGAGUGCAGGCGGUUCAAUAAGUCUGAUGUGAAAGCCUUCGGCUCAACCGGAGAAUUGCAUCAGAAACUGUUGAACUUGAGUGCAGAAGAGGAGAGUGGACUCCAUGUGUAGCGGUGAAAUGCGUAGAGAUCUGGAGGACACCAGUGGCGAAGGC